rnacentral:rRNA from 1 species
CCUACGGGAGGCAGCAGUGGGGGAUAUUGCACAAUGGGGGGAACCCUGAUGCAGCGACGCCGCGUGGGUGAAGAAGCGCCUCGGCGCGUAAAGCCCUGUCAGCAGGGAAGAAAAUGACGGUAUCUGAAGAAUAAGCCCCGGCUAACUACGUGCCAGCAGCCGCGGUAAUACGUAGGGGGCAAGCGUUAUUCGGAUUUACUGGGUGUAAAGGGGGCGCAGACGGGGAUGCAAGCCAGGAGUGAAAGCCCGGGGCUCAACCCCGGGACUGCUCUUGGAACUGCGUGGCUGGAGUGCAGGAGGGGCAGGGGGAAUUCCUGGUGUAGGGGUGAAAUGCGUAGAUAUCAGGAGGAACACCGGUGGCGAAGGCGGCCUGCUGGACUGCAACUGACGUUGAGGCCCGAAAGCGUGGGGAGCAAACAGGAUUAGAUACCCCGGUAGUC